UACGUAGGGCGCAAGCGUUGUCCGGAAUUAUUGGGCGUAAAGAGCUCGUAGGCGGCCUGUUGCGUCCGCUGUGAAAUCCCGGGGCUUAACCCCGGGCUUGCAGUGGAUACGGGCAGGCUGGAGGCAGGCAGGGGAGAACGGAAUUCCCGGUGUAGCGGUGAAAUGCGCAGAUAUCGGGAGGAACACCGGUGGCGAAGGCGGUUCUCUGGGCCUGUACUGACGUUGAGGAGCGAAAGCGUGGGGAGCGAACAGG
rnacentral:rRNA from 1 species